GAUGACUUCUACAGUCGACUUUGAGACCAGCUCAUCCACCUACGACAAAAUAUUUGCAUCUGCCACAAUUAUUAUAGAAAAAAGAAAACACCAGACAGAGUCACCUCAAAGUUCUACUAAGAUGCAGGUGUUGGUAAUUGUUACUACAGUCUUGUCAGUUCUCCUCGUAGUAAUCUUGCUUUCUUGGAUUAAAACAAAAAUAGUUAGACUGCUAGAACAGAGAUAUCAACAGUCAGUUUAUAGAUCAACAUUUUCUGGUCUUUCAUUCUCUGAACGGAUGUGUACAAGACGAGCAGAAGUAAGUCGUCAAAAGCAGAAUAGGACAGAGGUCUGAUUUGAUUAUCUUUUUACAGUGUUUCUACUACGAUUAUUGAUGACAAGAAGAAGAGGGGGAGUGAAUAGAAAUAAUGGAGGAAGGUUGAAUUUGAGAAGAAUUAUAAAUGCAAAUAUGAACAGACAUAAUUAUAACUUGAGACCAAGAAGAUGAGAAGACAGGUGUGUAAAGUAACAGAAAAGUAAUUUCAAAAGACAAUCUGGAUCAUGUAUAAGGAUAACGCAACCAGAUAUCUUAUUUUCAUUGCUUUACAUUUUCAUUGUAGGUCUGGUAAACUGGUUUUAUAUCAUAACACAAUUUAAAAGUUAAUUUGAUCAAAAUACAAAAAUCCUAUUCCUAACUUGUCUACAAUAGCUUAAAAUGAAAAAAAAUAGUUAAUUUGAGAGUGAUAAGAGGAUUCCUAUAAAAUUUUUGAUAAUAUAACUUCUGACCUGAGUCACCUCUGUUUUGCAUUCAUUGGUGUCUAAUAUAUGAAAAGUUUUGACAAUACAUUUUAACUCGGUUAUUUGGAAAAUGAUUAACUAUACAAUGUCAGAUAUUAUGAUAAUUUUUGGAAGGUAGACAGGG